rnacentral:rRNA from 1 species
AGAGUUUGAUCAUGGCUCAGGAUAAACGCUGGCGGCGUGCAUGAGACAUGCAAGUCAUACGGACGAUCAGGGCUUGCUCUGGUCGUUAGUGGCGGACGGCUGAGUAACGCGUAGGUGACCUGCCCCGAAGUGGGGAAUAACUGCCCGAAAGGGUGGCUAAUACCGCAUGUGGUGGUGCGUUCAUUCGCACCAGUAAAGCCGCAAGGCGCUUCGGGAGGGGCCUGCGUCCGAUUAGCUCGUUGGUGGGGUAACGGCUCACCAAGGCGACGAUCGGUAGGUGGUCUGAGAGGACGAUCACCCAGACUGGGACUGAGACACGGCCCAGACUCCUACGAGAGGCAGCAGUCGGGAAUUUUGCGCAAUGGGCGAAAGCCUGACGCAGCAACGCCGCGUGAGGGAUGAAGGCCUUCGGGUUGUAAACCUCUUUUCUCAGGGAAGAUAAUGACGGUACCUGAGGAAUAAGCCACGGCUAACUACGUGCCAGCAGCCGCGGUAAUACGUAGGUGGCAAGCGUUGUCCGGAUUUACUGGGCGUAAAGAGCGCGCAGGCGGUCGUUCAAGUCGAGUGUGAAAGCCCCCGGCUCAACUGGGGAGAGUCACUCGAUACUGAUCGACUCGAAGGCGGGAGAGGGAAGCGGAAUUCCCGGUGUAGUGGUGAAAUGCGUAGAUAUCGGGAGGAACACCAGUGGCGAAGGCGGCUUCCUGGCCCGUUCUUGACGCUGAGGCGCGAAAGCUAGGGGAGCAAACGGGAUUAGAUACCCCGGUAGUCCUAGCCGUAAACGAUGGACACUAGGUGUUGGUGGUAUCAACCCCGCCAGUGCCGAAGCUAACGCAUUAAGUGUCCCGCCCGGGGAGUACGGCCGCAAGGCUAAAACUCAAAGGAAUUGACGG